UUUGCGACCAUUCCAGGGCUA
rnacentral:miRNA from 1 species